AACAUGACUGCUGGAUCAUAUGGUAAGACUAUAUUUAGCUUUGUAAGAAAUUGUCAAAUUGUUUUCCAAAGUGACUGUACCAUUUUGCAUUCCCACCAGCAAU
rnacentral:pre_miRNA from 1 species